rnacentral:rRNA from 1 species
UACAGAGGGUGCAAGCGUUAAUCGGAAUUACUGGGCGUAAAGCGUGCGCAGUCGGUUAUUUAAGUCGGAUGUGAAAUCCCCGGGCUCAACCUGGGAAUUGCAUUCGAUACUGGGUAGCUAGAGUUCGGCAGAGGGAAGUGGAAUUUCAGGUGUAGCGGUGAAAUGCGUAGAUAUCUGAAGGAACAUCAGUGGCGAAAGCGACUUCCUGGACCAGAACUGACGAUCAGGCACGAAAGCGUGGGGAGCAAACAGG